UACGGAGGGUGCGAGCGUUGUCCGGAAUCACUGGGCGUAAAGGGCGCGUAGGCGGCGCGGAUAGUCGGCGGUGAAAGCCCGGAGCUCAACUCCGGGUCGGCCGUCGAUACUUCCGGGCUUGAGCACUGUAGAGGCAGAUGGAAUUCCGGGUGUAGCGGUGGAAUGCGUAGAGAUCCGGAAGAACACCGGUGGCGAAGGCGGUCUGCUGGGCAGUUGCUGACGCUGAUGCGGCGACAGCGGUGGGGAGCAAACGAGG
rnacentral:rRNA from 1 species